AUUUUGUUUUUAUGUUUUUGCUUACACGUAUAGAAAAAAUAGCGUUUUAACACGUGCUAAAGGUAUUUUUUUCCGCACGUGAUUAGAUGAUCACCUUUCUGCUUCACAUCGUUCAGCCAAGUGCAAUCGCGUGCACAAAAGUAAGACUUUCAGCACUAGUUAGGAAAUAUACUGUUAUAAAUCUGUACAUUUUAUGUACCAUCGCGAUCAAAAAAAACUGGGACACCUUGUAAGAUCUCCUGGACUAUUUUUUAAUUUUUUGUGUCAAAUGUUUGCCAAAACUUUACUUUUUGGUUAAGAUAAGAAAUAGGUUAAACUGGGAUUUAAAGGGGUUUGACGUUUCGUGUCAGUUGAACAGUUACCUUCAAAAAAUAGUCCAGGAUUAAUGUUGGUUUGUUUUGUCCCAGUUUUUUUUUAUCGCGCUUGUAGGACGAAAAUGUUCUUGCCGAUAUAUCAAACAUAAGCUCUGACCAAAGUUUACUGAAUAAAAUACUAAUAAAAAAUAAUAAAAUAGUAUUUUAUUCAGUAAACUUUGCUCUGACUUAAACAGAUCAAGCCUUCCCAAUGUAGAUUUAUUGGAUAAUUUUGUGUUUUCACAAGAGAAAAAUUCAAGCUUGUGUAUUGAAAAUGAUAGAGAAGCGUCUCCUCCCCGUCGUCUGCUGUUUGAUCCGGAUCAUAUACCCUCAAGGGAGGAACAACAGAAUAUCAAUAUGGAUAGUGACUCAGAUUUAGAAGUACGAAACGUGAAGAAAUAGGUGAUAACAUAGAGAGAUUGGUGAAGCUGAUAGUCAAGAGGAUACAGAAUCAGAUGUAAAAGAAAAUAGACCCGAAAUAUUGAAUAAAAAGCGGCCACGUACUUCAAAAGAAAAAGUUAUAAGAAAUGAGAAUAAACACCCUAUCGGGCCUCCCACCUGCAACUGCAAGACUAAAAAAUGCCUUAAUGCAUUUGAUUCAGACAAAAGAAAAGACUUGCAUACACGAUUUUGGUCAUUAGAUAAGGUUUUACAAACGAUGUGGCUUUAUAAGCAAAUUCACGAAACUAAAGCGAAACGUAAGAGUCUGGAAAGUCGUAGAAAUUUUUCUAGAACAUAUACCUUGCCGAAAAUUAACGCAAACGGUGAAGACGAGCAGGUAAAAGUAUGCCAAACAUUUUUUAUGACAACUUUGUACAAAAGUACGAUGGUGGUAGACUAUAUGUUAAAAAAGAAUAAGGAUCCUCAUGGUACACAAAUAGCAACUCCCUUAUUAGCAGACCAAAGAGGAAAACGGACUCCAGGAAAUAAAAAAAGCAAAACUCCAAUUAAAGCCCAUAUAAAUUCCCAUAAUCCCAAACCAUCACAUUAUAGAAGAGUACACGCGCCGAAAAUACCUGCCAGCUGAAUUGUCUAUAAGGGAUUUGUACAAAGACUAUAACGAAAAAUAUCCUAAAAAUAAAGUUAGCUAUGAAACUUAUAGAAAAGAAGUAGAAGCAUUAAAUAUUGGGUUUUAUGAAAUAGAAGCAGACAAAUGUGAUACAUGUUCGGAAUUAGGCCAAAUAAAUAACGAAGAAACUUCACUUAAAAAAGAAGAGCACAUUGCUGAGUACCAUCUACGACGAUAUACCAAAAAGAUGCGCAGCAGUAUUUGAUGGAUCCAAUUGUAAAAGUUUAUGCGGUGGAUAUGCAAAAGGUGUUCCUGUUACCGAGAAUGCCAAAAGUUGAAGAAUCCUUUUUACAUCAAGGCUUGUUGUUUUCAAUGAAACCUUUGCCUCUUUAAAAAAUAAUGACAAUCACGUUAUUAUAUGGCAUGAGGCUAUCGCUGGACGAAGAGAAGACGUUGCCAGUGCAUUUAUAAAAUUUUAGGAUCUCUGUAGAGAUGCAUCAGAAGUUAUUUUGUGGGCUAAUAUACAUAUAGGCUAUAUACAUUAAUAAUGAUUGUUGCUCUCUUAAAUCUAUAACCAUAAAAUAUUUAUUAAAAGGGCACACUUAUAACUCCGCCGAUGGCUUGCACGGCAAAAUUGAACAGUGUGCAAAGAAAAAAAACACUAUCGAAGAUAUGGACGACUUUAUUGAAUUUGUUGAAAAAUCUGCGAAACGAUUGGUAACAAAACAAAUGUUAAUCACCGAUUUCAUGAAAGUAGAAAAUAUAUUUUCCAAAAAUACUUCAAAAAAAGGAAAAGACAGUGACGCUAUUUUGCUUAAAGACAUAGUAGAGAUUUGUUUUGUGAAGGGAAAGGAAGCGUUUCUUUAUAAAACCGAUUUUAAACAUUUGGAAUACAAAGAAUCUAAUCUUAAAUUAAAGAGAAAAAUAAAUUUUAAUAUUAUGCCGUCUAAACUAACAAAUGUUCGUGGAAUAAAUAGCGAUAAAAGAGAUCGAAUUAUGAGAAGCUUAGUUCCACACAUGAAGCCUUCGAGAAGGAAGUUUUGGCAAGAGAUGCCUUCUACCGAAGCCAAUGAUUUGCUAGAGGAAGGGCUAUUAUAAUCAUUUGUUGUUUAUUAUAAUUUUUCUUACGUUACCAAGAAUAUAUUUUUUUUAAUUCCUA
rnacentral:lncRNA from 1 species